rnacentral:lncRNA from 1 species
GAAAUCAUGGUACAAUGCCAAAGGGACCUCUAGAUGUCACAGAGCAGUGGAUAAACUUUCAGAUGCUUCGCCUAAUCCUGGAUCCAAUCGAUGAUUAUAGCAGAGUCAUCUUCAAUAAAGAUCUUCUCUACCUAAAGCUACUGUCUCACACAAAUAAUGUCUAUCCAAAUAGCACAGAGCUCUACUCGAGAACAAACAGCUCAAAAAGAGGUGAGCCCCCAGCAGCCAGC